UACAGAGGGGGCUAGCGUUAUUCGGAAUUAUUGGGCGUAAAGGGCGCGUAGGCGGCCAUGCGUGUCUUCCGUGAAAUCCCUCGGCUUAACUGAGGACGUGCGGAAGAAACUGCAAGGCUCGAGUCCGGGAGAGGGGGGUGGAAUUCCCAGUGUAGCGGUGAAAUGCGUAGAUAUCGGGAGGAACACCAGUGGCGAAGGCGACUUCCUGGCCUGUUCUUGACGCUGAGGCGCGAAAGCUAGGGUAGCAAACGGG
rnacentral:rRNA from 1 species